GUCUCAGUUGCACUCCUUCAUCCUCGCUUGGUGAGCUCAUCGAUCCCCUGGUCCACCAGAAGCUCCCACCCCCGAGACCUGAGUCUAACCUCUCCAGCUCCCCGUCUUUUGCCCCAAGAAUGGGUGCGUUUACUUGUGUGAUUUUUUUUUUUUUAGAUUUUUAUGUAUUUAUUUAUUUGAGAGAGAGAGAGAAAGCUCACAAGCAGGGGGAGAGGGAGAAGCAGACUCCCCCCUGAGCAGGGAGCCCGAUGCGGGGCUCAAUCCUAGGACCGUAGAAUCAUGACCUGAGCCGAAGGCAGAUGCUUCACAGACUGAGCCACCCAGGCGCCCCUGGAUGCAGUUUCUUGUAAUACCCGUUGUGCUGAGAACACCUGCACCCAGAGAUGGUGGUGAGGAAGGCAUGGUCCCUUCUUCCUGGGAAGCCAGGAGAAGUCUCCUGGGGGAGGUGAUGUGGCUGCCUCUGGCCUUGCUCUCAUGUCCCCUGUAUCCACGAGCUGGGGCCUGCAGCAACAAAGCACCACAGACUGAAUGGCUUAAACAACAGAAGGAAUUUUCCCCACCGCCCUGGAGGCUGGGAGUCCAAGAUCAAGGUGUCAGCAGAGUGGGUAUCUUCCUCUGUCCUUGGGGGUGUAGACACCAUCUCCUCGUGUGUCCUCACAUGGUCGUCCCUCUGUGUGUGCCUGUGUCCUGAUCUCUUUUUCAUCCCCCCUCCCUCUUUUUUCUUUCUUUCUUUCUCUUUCUUUCUUUCUUCCUUUCUUCCUUUCUUCCUUUCUCUUUUCUUUCUCUCUUUCUCUCUUCUUUCUUUCUUUCUUCCUUCCUCCCUUCCUUCCUUCCUUCCUUCCUUCUUUCUUCUCCCCUCCUCUCCUUUCCUAGUAGGCUCCAUGCCCAGCAUGGAGCCAAAUGCGGGACUUGAACUCACAACCCUGAGAUCCAGACCUGAGCUGAGAUCAAGAGUUUAACGCUCCACCGACCGAGCCACGCAGGCGCCCCUGGAUGUCUUCUUAAGAGGAUGCCAGUCCUACUGGAUUUGAGCUUGCUCCAUGACCUCGUUUCAACUGAAUUACCCCUUUAAAGGCCCUGUCUCCAAAUGUAGUCACAUUUGCAGGUACUGGUGUUAAGACUUCAACAUGUGAACGGAGCACAGGGCACUAUUCAGUCCCUGAUAUCCACCUUCUGCACUCUGAUCCGGGUCCCCGCUGGCCAACCUGGGCAUUAUCAGGGGACAGCCAGGGUCCCUUCUCCCAGGGAGCCUCCUGUCCAGGGACUUCACAACAUGAAGCUUACAGAGGAAGGGCCUCCCACAGGGAAGAGGGAGAGGGAGGGAGGGAAGCCUGGAUCCUAACGUGGACUUGCCCUGAUCGUGCUACUGACAAUUCCUUGAUUUUCAUAUUGUGCAUAGUUGUGGAGGAUGAUAACACUGGGGGGCACCCGGGGGGCUCAGUCGGUGAAGCGUCUGCCUUCGACGCAGGUCAUGAUCCCGGUUCCUGGGAUCGAGCUCCGAGUCAGCCUCCAUGUCUCAGUCUUAGCACUAUUGACAUUUUGAAUCAGACCGUUCUGGGAGGGUGGGGGGUGCGGGACAGGAUGUCCCACAGCAGCCCUGACCUCACUCCUUGGAUGCUAGUAGCAGCCAUCCACCCCAGCUGGGACAACUAAAAAUGUCCCCAGACAUUGCCACCUGUCCCCCGGAGGGC
rnacentral:lncRNA from 1 species